CACGUAGGGUGCGAGCGUUGUCCGGAAUUAUUGGGCGUAAAGAGCUCGUAGGCGGUGUGUCGCGUCGGCCGUGAAAACCUGCAGCUUAACUGUGGGCGUGCGGUCGAUACGGGCAUCACUGGAGUUCGGCAGGGGAGACUGGAAUUCCUGGUGUAGCGGUGAAAUGCGCAGAUAUCAGUAGGAACACCGGUGGCGAAGGCGGGUCUCUGGGCCGAUACUGACGCUGAGGAGCGAAAGCGUGGGGAUCAAACAGG
rnacentral:rRNA from 1 species